GCCCGGGUGGCGGAAUUGGCAGACGCGGAGGACUCAAAAUCCUCUGGCUGAAAGGUCGUGCGGGUUCAAGUCCCGCCCCGGGCA
rnacentral:tRNA from 1 species